GCGGGUAUAGUUUAAUGGUAGAACCCCAGCCUUCCAAGCUGACUAUCCGAGUUCGAUUCUCGGUACCCGCUCCA
rnacentral:tRNA from 2 species